rnacentral:rRNA from 1 species
CUACGGGAGGCAGCAGUAGGGAAUAUUGCACAAUGGGCGAAAGCCUGAUGCAGCAACACCGCGUGUGUGAUGAAGGCCUUCGGGUCGUAAAGCACUUUUAUGAGGGAAGAGGAAGGACGGUACCUCAUGAAUAAGGAUCGGCUAACUACGUGCCAGCAGCCGCGGUAACACGUAGGAUCCAAGCGUUAUCCGGAUUUACUGGGCGUAAAGCGCGUGUAGGCGGCUUGGUUAGUUGGAUGUGAAAGCUCCUGGCCCAACCGGGAGACGUCGUUCAAUACUGCCAGGCUUGAGGACGGUAGAGGAAGGUGGAAUUCCGGGUGUAGUGGUGAAAUGCGUAGAUAUCCGGAGGAACACCAGUGGCGAAGGCGGCCUUCUGGGCCGUUCCUGACGCUCAGACGCGAAAGCUAGGGUAGCGGACGGGAUUAGAUACCCGUGUAGUCC